GUCGUCCCCCCCGCCCCGUCCCCGUCCCCGCGGCCCGUCCCCCGGCGAGGAGCGAGUGCCGCCGCUCCGCCUUCUCCUUUUCGCAAUGUUGACGCAAUCUAUAAAUAGUGGAACAAAAGGAGCAACUUCCUCGCAGCUUUGCUGAAACUGCACAAAAAAGGCAACCGGGGGGGUGGGGGGCGUUAUUUUGAUUUGAUUUUUUUUUGCCACCGCUUUCAAAAGCGAAGCCUCCUUCCCCCUCCCCCGCCGCUCUCUCGCUACUGGAAGAUUACAGAUCCGUGCGCGAUUAUUUUUUGAUUCCUCGUUGUCUGCUGCGCUGGCACCGUCCUGCGAGCGGCGGAGCGGCUCGGCGCCGGGCUUCCCCCGCUGACAAUCAUGGAUGAAAUCCGUACACUGAUGUCUAACCUGUAACAAAGGCUCAUGUUUCGACCUUUCAAUAGAGAGCUGAUUUUGGAGAACGGCUUAGUCCUGUGAUUGAAAAACUCUUUCUGGAAGGUUGAUGGAGCAGGAGCAUGAGCAUUUCAAUUGCUGUCCAUCACUUCCUCGGAAGCCUCAAUAUUGCCAUUCCAAAUGACUCUGUGUUUGUUGAUAUGACUGCAGUGAAGGACUGGUGCACCUCCUACAACAGAACAUGCAAGUCAGGUCAGUGUAAGCCAGGUUGGAGUACUGAGAUGAAUUUAAAAAGAUUUGGAGUUGAAUUUAAUAGUGAUGGACCAUAACUGCAUUUUCAGGCUUCAUAUAUAUUUUUAAACUGCAGACUUUCUUAACGUUUUAGUUACUGGCUUUUUUUUUUUUUUUUUAGCUGACUUUGUUACUUUAUGUUUAUCUUUUGCAGUAGCUCUCCAGAUAGUCUAAAUAUGUUUGUUUAUGAUCCUUGGAGGAAUGGCUGGACACAUGUUAUAGAUUCUCCAAAUUUAGCAACAGUAAAUUUCUGUAAUCAGCAGUUAUCUGCUUAAAUUUCAUUAGUAAUAUUUUACAUUGCACAGAACUUCUGUCAUUGUCUCAGUCUCUCACUGUGAUUACGGAGGAAAAAUUGUUGACACUAUUGUGAAACAGUUAACAGAUAAUACCCUUUUUUUCCUCAAAGCUUGUGUGCUUGACCUUACCCAUAAUUUACAACCAAAACUGCAGAACAGCUCUAGCUAUCUCUGUUCAAAUAAUCUUCCUUGUGCUCAGAAAAUUAUCCAAAGCACUGUGUCUUUUUAAUGCACAUUGAUGCUAGUCUUAAAAAUAUUUAGCUGCUUGGUAGAAGAUAGGGGAAGAUUUAUGGUGAGAGUGCAUAAGCUUGAUCCUGAAUGACUGCACCUUUCUGUGGUGAAGUGAUGCUAAUUUAUUGCUGCAUUACAGUCAUUUAAUAAUAAUAAAUAAUGCUUAAAAGAAAACCCACAGAAUUGUUAGGUCAAAAAAAAUUGCUUUUUAGAACUGCAGUUCUAACUGUGAGUUCAGAGUCUUACUGUUACUUCCAGAUAAAGGUAAUUAAGGUAUAUAUUUCUCUCCAUUCUUUUUGCUCUCUGGACCACACAGUAGCCUCAAUUAAGUUGAGAGCAUUAAGUGAUGUCAUAGGCUAUACCUGAACCGAGUAACAGUGCAGUCAUUGCCAAAAGUGCACCAAUAUUUUUAAAAUAAUGCUUAGAAUUGAUAUUUCAAUUGAAUCUUUCCUCCUUUUCUUGUUAUCUGCGUGUCACUGAAAGCAAAGGCUGUGAAGAAGCCCUUUAGUCCUAAAUAUUCAUGUCAACUAAAGCAGCCAGCAGAGAGGGAUGGCAGAAUAUUUGACUCGCAUCUAUUUUAAAAUGUAAGUUUUAAAAAUGAACAAGGGCUAUAAAUUCCUGCAUGUUUGCAGUAUAAAUAUUACAGUGUUGAGCAAGCAUAAGACAAGAAGUGAAACUACUAUUGUUUAAACUGGUGGGGAAAAAAGUAAACAGUGCAUUAUCAGGAGUCAGCUACAUACACUUUUAGAUAUCAAAACGUGGAUGCUUAAGAAUAGAAAUGUUUGUUUUUCUUAAUUCUGCGGUGACAGUGUCUCUUCAAUUCUGUCUUUUUCACAGAGGUAAGGAGUGCUGGUAGCCCAGAUUAAUUUGAUAGAAAGUAUGUAUUUGAAGCAAGCAUUAACUGUUAAUAUGCAUGUUUGUGCUGAACAGUGUUCGGGUGGCGCUGACUUGUGGGCAGCUUUGCAAGUUUACCUGCAGUGUAAAAAAAAAAAAACAACAAUUCUCACUGCAAAAUGUCAGUCAUAUGAUUAAGUUAUGCUCUUCUAGGAAUGCACACAACAGAACACGUGUCAGAGCUGCUGUCUGCACACAACCCCAUCUCACGUCGGCUUAAAGGGGUUAAACUGGGAGAGCUUGCACGUGGGGAAGUACUUUCUGAUGACUGUGUUAUGAGUGCUACAUAGCACUGGUGGGAAGUGCCGUGCUUCAGACUUGAAACUCUGAGAGCCUUCCAGUCUUUCACCCUUCGUUCUCUAGUUUUAAACUGCAGUGAGGUUGGAAAGGGUGACAGUGAACAGUGAAGCUGUGCUUUCGUCGUGCAUCUGCGUAGCUUUGCAGUGAUGAACAAGUAACCCAAACAAAGAAAUAUGGCUGUGUGUGAAUGGUGUCUGACUAUCAACGUGGAAGGUGCGUUGGCCAAGAAGUAUCAGGAGAGAGCUGUUGGUGUCUGAGGACAAUGUGCCAAGUAAAUGUUUAAGCUUAUGGCACAUUCCUGGGCAUCUGACACGAUGUACUAUAUUUAAUAGGAAGGCGUUGGUUUGGUUUAUUCCAAAUCACCGGGCUGUCAGAUUGCUGGCUGGUAGCAACUCUUUGAAUAUAACUUGUUAUUUAAAUUAAACUUAUGAGUUUAAUUUAAUGAGCUAUAGUAGCCACAGAUUCACUUGGAAUUGAUUUUCACGGGAUUCAGAAAGAAAAUGAAUUGGUGUUAUCAUAAAAUCUUAACCAUAAACCAAUAAAAAACUGAUGGCAGUAUUUUACAUUAGGCUGUUCUUGAUACAUCAACUGAAACGCUGAAAUCAAGAAAAGGCUUUCUGACCACCACCCUUUCUUUUUUUUUUUUUUUUUUUUUAAAUUUUUGUUUUUUAUAAGCAGUUUCCCUGCUUUUCUAAUUUCAUUUCCUAUUUUUUUUUCUUCCUUACUUCUCUGUGCAUGUAAAGAGCCUCCUUCAUUGGUAUUUAAAUUCAAGCUCUUCAAAACUCAAUCUUUCUCAGCAGAGCUCUUGUUUGGAGGGGGCCUAGUGGAGAGACCUGGUGAAGUUAUCUGUACACACAAUCCCCUGCUUUUACUGAGGCCUCCUCAGUAAUUUGUCCCCCAACAACAGCUGAAGACAUAAGGAUAGAGACCCUUUUAGCAGAGGCUGUCCUGCUGUAUUACUAUAGGAGCAAACACUGGAAAGAAGGGAAGGAAAACUUACCAAACUUUCCCACCUGUGGCCUGCAAAACUGCUUUGUGCUUACACAGUCCUGUUAAUUUAAGAGGGUGAUUUCAUCCUGCACUGGCUCUAAGAUUCUUCACAGUGGAAAGAAGUACUCAGGUUGAAUUUGUGGGAAUCUUUCAUUGAGACAAUUGAAAUUGCUGCAGUGAGAAUGGAAAUUACUUGGGAUCCUUUCCUUUUAAAAGCUGUAUGCAAGAACUGUGUGAGAUAAACCUGCAAGGAUGCACUGUCUCCAGUGGUGGAAUGGAACUCUCCUACAUUUGCAGCUCUGAGGUCCUAUGGAUUUUGCCUGAUUGAAGAAAGAAAGGUGUAUUAUAUUCAGUCCAGAUGCUGCUAGUUUAGGAACUGUGAGGGAAAGCAGAUGCUUAAUUCAUAAAUAAGGGAAAUAAAAGAAAGGCCUGCUUGAAAAUAUCUUGAGAUUAGUUGCUAUUCAAGAGUGAAGACAGCUGGUGAGAGGAGCAUGUCUGCAACUCCAGUGUUUGAAAGAUUGGAGCUGCAAACUGGUAGGGGAAAGAGAUGUGAAAUUGGAAAGUUGGAAGGACUGGUACGGGUUGGGCAAUGAUUUAAGGAUUCAUUUGUUUCUUGAAGAUGGAAGAAGCAGCAGCUUAGCAGAAGGAACCCUGCCUGAUACUGUAAAAAGAAAGCAGGGGAAAGCAGGUCAACGUUAAUGUUUAUUAGAAUGCUUAGCACUUGAGUCAGGCUGCGACCUAGUAGUUUUUGCUAUGAAAUCAGUCACUUUCAUUUCUCAUCCAGAUCCACAGAGAAAAGGGUGUCUUUAUUACUACAGUCAGCUACUUCAUGAAAUUUCAUCCUGAAAUUCAAAAAUUACAAAGUAGUUGAUGUGCUACUGGAGAUCAUCUAGCCGAAGCAGAAUCAGGCAGAACAGGCCUCUCAGAGGUGUAUCUGAUCUUAAUUUGCCCCCUUGUGUUAGUCUACUAUGAAGCAGUCUUCAUGAUCGUAUGGAAUAUUCAAUGAUAGGACCAGUGUGGUGUGCUGCUGAGUCAGGGAAGGUGUUUGUAGGCUGUACAAGGAAGAAGUUCAACUCUGCUACAGAAACAGGUUGAAAAUUCUGUAGGGAAUGGACCAAAGCCUACAAGCAGAAGAAACUCUGUCUUUAUGUUUACGUGAAAUGAGAAAUCCUAGGAAUUGGAUGUUAUAUUUAAUUUUCUGUUUUCAUUUUUGUACGGUGUACAAAUUACCAUUGGUUUUUGUAGUGUUAUGUUCCUCACUUUCACAAGUGGCUUUAAGCCAUCAAGUCCAAUGGAAACACUGGAUGUCCACGUUUGCAGCUGAUCUGCUUAAGAAUUGCAAACAUGAAUUUAAACUUUGUGUAAUGUUAUGUCUGCCUGUAGUCUCCUACAUAUUUCAAGUGGGAUACCUCCAACCGUUGGGUACUACUGUAGUUUCUAUAUCUUUGUGUCACGUUUAAAGUAGGGAUGAUAGUCACUUGAAGGGAUGUUUUUGCUUAUUUCAAGCUUUGUCUGUUAGUUGUGCUACAGGGAUGUGUUUCCUCAUGGGAUUUUCUAUGGCAUUUAUGACUUCAGAUCACAGAGGAAGAGAUGAAUUAUAAUCUGGUAUAACAGUUGACAGUAACAAGAGAGGGCAAGGAUAUACGCUGUGCUUGAAGAGGAAGAAUGGGAAAGAUAACAGACCCAAAGUCACUAAGCCUGGUGAGCUGCUGAAAUAUUGGCAUGACCACCUAAAAUCCUUCAGAUCAGUGUAAGAUGGUCCAGCUGAAGCAGGAGCAGGAGGCUCACCUGGGAAACAGAGAACCCAGGUUUCAGGUUCUUCAGAAAUCAGGGGGGAUUCAAGUUCACGUCUCCUGCUUCUGAAAAAUAGUACUUGGGGAAAGUUGCCCACAGAUGUUCCUCAUCUUUCUUGUUAAAUCAAUGAUAUGUGCAGAAAAGCAUAGAAGUCACAAAACGGUUUUGUUCAAUGGUUGUUGGCAGUGAUAACUGUUAGCAUUACCAGAUGAAAGCAAGCUGCAGGUAGGAUUUCAAAGGGUAGUGGAGUUUGUUUUUCUUGGACUAACUGCAGUUCUUUGCAAGUUCCAUAUUCUUUUCUUAAGAUGUUUCCUAAGUAAUAGUAAAAAAGAUCAUAUAGUAAAUACAAGUGCCCAUUAAAACAUGCUAAAGGAAUACCUUAUGUUUCCAGUAGAUGAACACUGAGAUAGUUGAAUAUUUGUGAACUAGAUCACAGAUCUCUGUUAUGCCAAACUUCUGUUUUAAGUUGCUGGAGAGAGCACCAGUAAAGAUGUCCUUAAACUGCUUUAUACUCUUGGGUUUUCUACAGCUGCCGAGGAGGGGAGGUAACAGAAUUAAAGAAAGGUUGCUCAGCAAUCAGCAGUGAUUCACCUCUUCACUACUCUGGAUUGCUUUUCUUUUGUUUUUGACAAGAAGGUUUUACGCUCUCCCUCCCCAAUUAGUGCGAUUGACGAGAGUCUGCUCUGGGUAAGAGAUUUAAGCAACUUGCUGUGAACAGAGAAGCUACAACUCCUCUUUUUGGGAGUGGUUACUUAAUUUCCAAACUGUGAUUAGACUAUAAGACAGCCUCAAGGCUUGUGUGUAAUUUAUACUUCAUUCAAGCAAUUCUAGUAGCUUAAAAUAAAGUUUACUUGGCAAAGCUGUGAUAGCACGAUCCUGUUAUUUUAUGCUUAUUCAGGCAUAAAGUAAGUAGCUUUUGAAAGAUGCUGCCUUACUCUAUGAAGGUAUCCUCAAUCUGUUUCUUCCAAAACUGCACCUUUCUCUGAGUGUUGAACUAUGAGCAGCUGGCCAUUGUAGGGCAGUGGAUAUUUCUAAAGGUAAUUGACAAAUUCUUGCCUGUAUCUCUGCUUUUUCACUUUUAUUUCAGAGUUCUUAUAAAAAUAGUGUCUAUUCCUGAUGAUUUGUGGUGUUUGUUUCCCAGGCUGCCAGUAGGCUCUUCCUUUGAGACUUCUAGGCCUAAGUGAAACUCCUCUGAUUCCUCAUAGAGCAUGCUCUCAGGACAGGAAUUUGUCACCCUCUGUAUUAAAAGCAAGUCAUGUGUCUUGAA